UACGAAGGGUGCAAGCGUUGUUCGGAAUUAUUGGGCGUAAAGCGCGUGUAGGCGGCAUGGCAAGUCGGGUGUGAAAGCCCUCAGCUUAACUGAGGAAGUGCGCCCGAAACUGCCGUGCUUGAGUGCCGGAGAGGGUGGCGGAAUUCCCCAAGUAGAGGUGAAAUUCGUAGAUAUGGGGAGGAACACCGGUGGCGAAGGCGGCCACCUGGACGGUAAACUGACGCUGAGACGCGAAAGCGUGGGGAGCGAUCCGG
rnacentral:rRNA from 1 species